GGUAAUACGGAGGGGGUUAGCGUUGUUCGGAAUUACUGGGCGUAAAGCGCACGUAGGCGGAUCAGAAAGUAUGAGGUGAAAUCCCGGGGCUCAACCCCGGAACUGCCUUGUAAACUCCUGGUCUUGAGUUCGAGAGAGGUGAGUGGAAUUCCGAGUGUAGAGGUGAAAUUCGUAGAUAUUCGGAGGAACACCAGUGGCGAAGGCGCUCUGCUGGGCCAUCACUGACGCUCAUGGACGAAAGCCAGGGGAGCGAAAGGGAUUAGAUACCCCUGUAGUCCUGGCCGUAAACGAUGAACACUAGGUGUCGGGGGAAUCGACCCCUUCGGUGUCGUAGCCAACGCGUUAAGUGUUCCGCCUGGGGAGUACGCACGCAAGUGUGAAACUCAAAGGAAUUGACGGGGGCCCGCACAAGCGGUGGAGUAUGUGGUUUAAUUCGAUGCAACGCGAAGAACCUUACCAGGGUUUGACAUCCUGCGAAUCUCUUGGAAACGAGAGAGUGCCUUCGGGAACGCAGUGACAGGUGGUGCAUGGCU
rnacentral:rRNA from 1 species